AAGUGGUUGGCUGAAGACCCAUCAAAAACACCUUGUGUAAUGAAAAACCCAGAUAUAUAAUCUCUCCCUAUAUAUUCUGCAUGCAUUGAGGUAGCCUCAAUCCCCAGCGACCUGAUGCAGAUGUGGAAUCUGUUUCAUGCAUCAGCUGCUAUUUGAAGGAAAAACAGAAGCAAAUGAUACCAAGACAAGAUCAAAACAGAGAUCUAAUCACCAGAUGUGUAUGGAUGAAAAUACAGCGAGAUGAGUCAGAAAGCAGUUAAAGAGGGUCCCAGACUCUCCAAGAACCAAAAGUUUUCCGAACACUUCAGCAUACACUGCUGCCCGCCGUUCACCUUCCUCAACUCCAAACGUGAGAUCGUGGAUCGUAAAUACAGCCUCUGUAGGAGCGGCUGCUUCUACCAGAAGAAAGAAGAGGACUGGAUCUGCUGUGCCUGCCAGAAGACCAGCCCCAGCCGCCGUGCAACAUCCCCUCAGAGGCCCAAGCACCAGCGAGCUGCACCCCCCGCGGUGGCCAAAGCACCAGCCAAGCCGCGGUCCCCUCCGAGGACUGAGCGUCAGCCACGCCCCCGCCCAGAGGUCCGACCGCCACCAGCCAAGCCGCGGCCCCCUCAGAAGACCAAGCCACCGCCACGCAGCACCCCCCUCAGAAGUCCAGGCACCAGCCGCAAGGGGUCCCCCACCAAAGCUUCUAGGUUCUGGUAACACCAUCUCUUCCCUUUUGUUCCCCCAGUCGUAAGAUUGAAAAAAAAGACCAAACCACCCACAAAGAAGAAGUAAACAAGAAGAACUUUCAAGUGAAUGAACAGCUUCAGCUCCUGGACUUACUCCUUCUCAACAUCUAUGACCUUGGGCAAGUUUUCCGGCUCCAAAUAUGAUGCAGGGGCAGAUUCCUGCUGAUGUGGCAACUGCCAGUGCUCACUGUCCCCCAUGCACAGGGGCCACAGGGCAGCCUGCCUGGAGCACUUCAAAGAUAUUAUCCCAUUGUUUUCUGGACUUUGUAAUUGCCAGUGAGAAAUAUGCUGUUGUUCUACUUGUCCUUCCAUUGACUCAAGCUUCUUCAGUCUGAAGAUAUAUGUCUUUCUUCAGGGAUGUGCAAAACAAGAAACAUUGCUGCAGGACCAUAAUAAUGGCAAAAAUUAAAACUUAUCAAGUUUUGGCAAGGAUGUGGGGGAAAAAUUCUCAUAAGUUACUGGUGGGAGUUUAUAAACUAUUACAACAAUUUUGGGGUGCAAUAUGGGGGUAUUAGAAAAACAGAAUAUUAUACAACCUAUGAUCAGGCAAUUAUGCUUUUAGGCAUCUAUCCUAGAGAAAACUUUUAUACAAGGAAAAGUGAUAUACACAUAAGGCCAUUAAGUGAAGCAUUGUUUGUCAUAGGAGAGAGACAGAGAGCCAAAAUGUUCAAAAUGUCUGCCAGUAGGAAAAUGAAUGAAUGAAUUAUGGUAUAUUCAUAAAUAAAAUCCUAAGCAGCAGUUAAAAUGAAUGAAUCUGACACACCAACAUAAAGCAGAUAAAUUGGUAAAAUGAAAUGAGGACUAUAAAAAACAAAUAGUAGAUGGCAAACUCAAUAUGAUGCCCUGUGUAUACAUUUUAACAACCACAGUACAAUAUUGUAUAUUGUUCAAUAAGUAGAAACCAUAAUGUCACACACUCUCUCUACAAUACAAUAGAAUAAAAAAUUGACAACAAAAUAAGAGGAUAUAAAAAAAUUUCUGUCUUCUUGGAAGUAAAAAGUAUUUGAACUAACCCCUGGUUUGAAGAAAAAAAAACAAAUUAGAAGCUUUAUGGAAGUGGUUGACAAUAUUGGCCAGACCCAAUUUUAUUUAGAAAGACAAGUGGGAGACUUAUGAUAAGCCUGGGGUCUCUCUAAGGUUACAAGUCUUAAAAAACAAAACUAUUUGGUUUGAGUCUAUUUUGGAUCUCUGUUUGUGACCAUGGCUUCUACUGGCUUCUGACAUGGGGCAAAAAGAGGAAGCAUUGGAAUAUAUACACACCCUCAAACCUUCCUGUAGUAGUAGGUAAGAAAACACAAUAGAAGAUAAUGGAAUGUUGCAGAAUGCAGAGGGAUGUCAAAUGGACAGCAUUACACAGAGAGUAACUCAGGCUAUAGGAGAAGAGGGCAUCAAGGCAGUCACAUGCUGCGAGCUGGUGUGGCCAACCACAGGCAGAUGCCAAAGCGCCAGCAGGGCCAUGGCUCUGUGUUCUCAAGUGAGCACAACUUACCGCAGUUGAAGAAGCAAGAGAAAAUAUAAGAAUGAUGUUGGAGGAAGUCCUGUUCUAGGUGUGGGAAUGGCGGGUAGGGAAAAUGCCAGAGAGUAGAGAGUGAUAAACUCAAAUGAGAAAUGGCUCAGAAGGCCAUGUCCCUGGAAAGGGGAAUCAAGGCAGCUGAAGGGCAAGCCAGAGUGUCGGGCCUCCUCACUUGCGGAGGCUGGGACUCUCCAUGGAAGUGACAAUAGAAAGGCAGAGAAAUUGAACUACACACAGUCUUCAGGUAGAAAUAUUUCUCCUGCCUAAAUUCAGGUGCUAAAUGAACAAUAAAAUGAGAACCUCUACUAUGAACAGUUUUGAAUGAUAAGAUAUCUGAGGCCAUUACAUUUCUGGGAAUAACAUGGAGAGGGGCAAACAUGUCAGACCACUGGCAAGUGAGAACAAAUUUCUGGUCCAGCCCCACUGAGAUCAAAGAAGGAAACUCAAUAUUCCUUCAGCCCAUUUUAGAUUUUGGCAAAGCCAGGCCACAUACUCAGAGCUUUCUAGGUUCUCUCCUCCAUGCCAUCUAGAAGACAGGCAGUUACUACAGGAUACAAAAUUGGGGAGGUGAGAGCAUAGUGUUUAUUAAUUUAUGAAAAAAAUUGGGUAUUAACACAGAAAAUUAAGUUACUAGAAAUUGUUAAAUUCUCUAUGAUUGUCUGUUAUGGAAAUAAAACCCUCUGGGGAUGGAUAAAAAAUAUCUGGAAGUCACCUAAACUGGUUGAUAACUAAACGUAAUGUGCCUUGGAUAUUAUAAUGGAAACGUGCUAUAAUCCAAUUGUAUUUUUUGUGUUUUAAGGGUUAGUUCUAGGGAAUCACUGUAUAAAAGCUAUUGUAAAAAACUCCUUGAAUGGGAAUUCUCAACCAUAAUGUCUGGUAUAUUACUUUGAUAAUUCUGGAUGUUAAUUGAUUUUAUAUUCUGACAUUUGGAUUGAUUUGGGGAAAACUGAGGUGCAUACUUAGAUUCAUGCUGGAAAAUAUUUAACAACUGAUUCUCUGAGCAGAAAGUCCUGAUUUAUAAUGUUUGCCAAUUUCCAUGGUGUAAAUACCUCCACUUAGCUGAUUUCAAGCUAUGAACGUAUUGUCAUUGAAUGCAGAAUUGGGAAGAGAUGUGCACAGAUGACUCUUGUGAGUUGGUCCAGGCCAGCUUCAGUGUACCACUGUACAUACCCAUGGGCUUCUGUGAAACUAGAGAUUAUUACUAAAAAUUCUGCUCCAUAAAUAUGCAAUGGCAUCAGUGAAAAUAAAUAUAUAAUGGGAAAAUAAAAUAAAUUCGAAUUGGAGAACUCAAA